rnacentral:lncRNA from 1 species
CAUAUAAGAGCUAUGUCAUAUAAUGGGGGAGCACUAGCUCCAGCUGGUACUAAUGUUCCCUGAGCUUCACUGGGAAAUCUCUCCCAGUAUUUCUGUGUCCAGUAUGGUGAACAGAUACCAAGAGAAGAUCUGACCUCUUGCAGUUUAUUUCCUCCUCUGAAAGAUUUUCCAGGUGGCCGAGCGCAAAGCAAAUAUUUAUAGAUCAAAAUAUUUCUCUUCUCCAUGGGAGGGAAACAGUAAAAGUGCAGAUAUUAAUUUGGUUUUGCAGAGAACUGGAAAUAAUGACAAACUGGUCAUUAAAACUAAGCCUCUUUUUUUUUCUUUCUUUCUUUGCAGAUGCAAAUAAACUUUCUAAGGACAAAUCUGAACCCAUACGUUUCUUUCUCAUAAGAUGGUUAGCAGAAUUUGGUAGCUCCCAAGAGUCUCUGUCACUGACCAGGACUUCACAGACUAGGAUUUGCAUAAACCCAGACAAAAAAGAUUUAUUUUCAAAAACGUUGAUGUCUAAGACAAUGCGCAAAAUGAAGCAACUUCACUACAGAGUGGUUAAUCAGCUGUUCAAGAUAGAUGGAGAAGUGUCAGAGAGGAGAAAGACACAGACAUAUCUUGGCAUCCAUGAUGAUAAAAAUACACUUUUCUACAGACCAGAGGAGGCCGAAAUAUUUACUGUAACUCAGAAAGCAAGUACCAAGUGGUUAAGUGAGACCAGAUGUUUUUGA